rnacentral:lncRNA from 1 species
UAGGUACAGCGCGCCUACGGCCGCCGCGGCGAGCACCGCCAGCACGACCGCGGUGAUCACCACGCAGCAGAGGAGCCGGCAGCAGCAACCACGGCCGCGCCGCUUCCUCGACGGCGGCGGAGGUAGCGGCGCCGCUGGCGCGACGCGGCGCGGCGGCGGAGGCAGCGGGCCGCCCGGGACGUAGGCGCGUUGUUGGUGGUGGUGGUUGGCGCUCCGCGCUGCCGCAGGGUCGCCCUUGUCUGACCGGAACGACGAGCCUCCCGGCACCAGCGGCGCCGUCGGCCGGUUGCUGCCGCCCUCCAGGUCCACAGGGUGGAUCCUCUGGUGAUCCGACAUGGUCGGAGCGGCUACGUGCAGGUGCACCACCGUACCCCGCUGCUCUGCUUCUCCUCUGACCUCUCGACACAAGCAAAGGCAACGCGAGGUCACGCUUAGCUCCAGUCGCCCUGCCUGCACUGCCUUUGCUCCCUGGUCUCUGUGCGUGCGUGUUCCCCCCUCUGUUUCUGGCUGCAGAGACCCGAGCGGCUCGCUCUCUAUAUAGGAGGCGCGACGCUAGGCGUCACGCCACUACGGGACGACGGCGAGGAGGCGGCGGAACCUCGGUUGACUUGGGUAAUUGGGUUGUGGGCGAGGCUUGUUUGUGAAGGCCGCAGGCGAGACACUGCGAGGGGGUGGGCGGAGGCGGGAACGUGAAGUCUCCACCUGCCCCCAACGGCACGCAGAGCCACUAGCCACUGCGCGUCGUCCAGUGUGUGCCAGGGCCCGGGGGGUGCGGCGCUUUUUCGCGGUGGGGUGGCGCGUGGAAGGGAGCGGGAGGCGCGGGGCUGGUGGGUGGCUGGCUGCCGAGACGCGUCACCGCGGUGCGGCGCGGCGCGGCGUUCUUUUGGGCAUUGUUUAGUUGCAAAAUAUUUUGCAAAAUCGACACGAUAGGUUUUUCGUUUGUAUUUGACAAAUUUGUCCAAUCAUGGACUAACUAGGCUCAAAAGAUUCGUCUCGUCAAUUUCGACCAAACUGUGCAAUUAGUUUUUAUUUUUAUCUAUAUUUAAUACUUCAUGCAUGUGUAUAAAGAUUCGAUGUGACGGAGAAUCUGAAAAAUUUUGCAAAAUUUUUUUGGAACUAAACAAAACAAGGUUCAAAGGGGGGUGGACGGACAGACGGACGGCUCGAUGUGUGAUGCUGCACAUGGGGCGCAC